UACAGAGACCUCAAGCAUUAUCCGGAUUUAUUGGGCGUAAAGGGUCCGCAGGUGGUCGUGCACGUCGAGGGUUAAAUGUACGGGCUCAACCCGUACACCGCUCUCGAUACGACAUGACUAGAGGGUGGGAGAGGUGAGCGGAAUUGCCGGUGUAGUAGUAAUAUGCGUUAAUAUCGGCAAGAACACCAAAUGCGUAGGCAGCUCACUGGAACACUUCUGACACUCAGGGACGAAAGCGUGGGGAGCGAAAGGG
rnacentral:rRNA from 1 species